rnacentral:rRNA from 1 species
GAGACAGCAGUAGCCGCGGUAAUACAGAGGGUGCGAGCGUUAAUCGGAUUUACUGGGCGUAAAGCGUGCGUAGGCGGCUUCUUAAGUCGGAUGUGAAAUCCCUGAGCUUAACUUAGGAAUUGCAUUCGAUACUGGGAAGCUAGAGUAUGGGAGAGGAUGGUAGAAUUCCAGGUGUAGCGGUGAAAUGCGUAGAGAUCUGGAGGAAUACCGAUGGCGAAGGCAGCCAUCUGGCCUAAUACUGACGCUGAGGUACGAAAGCAUGGGGAGCGAACAGGAUUAGAUACCCGAGUAGUCCCUGUCUCUUAUAC